GAACUGAACAGGUGAGCAGCAGCCUAUUACCUGCCUGGGCCUUCUCCCUCCGAGGGUGGAAAUUGUUGUGCUUUCUUAGAUCUCCUAGCCAUUGACUUGGAAGGAUUUUUUAGAAGUUAAAAGUUGAAUUCCAAUAAAGUAUUUAUAGUGUGUGUAAAAAAAGGCUAUAUAAAUAUCUAUAAGAUACUCAAAGCACACAAUAACUAUCACAAUAACAAUAGACAGGUUAAGCGAUCACAGGCUUUGAGAUAGUAGUCCUUAAUUUGUGUCUGAGCUUCAUAAAAUUCCUACAUUUAUUAUUUCAUAAAAAAUUUACAUGGCUUGAUUGUAAAAAAACAAUAAUAAUCCUCAGAGAGCUUUACAAAAAGAUAAGGCAGUAAAAUUAAGAAUGAUUUAUAACCAUACUUAAAAACAUACAAAAGUUAAAAUACUAAAACAGAUUAAAAUUACCUCAACUUUUUAAGCAUCUGGGUAGGUUUGUCUAAAGAAGAAUGUUUUUAGCAGGCACUGAAAAGAGUCCAAUGAAGGUUCCUGCUUGUUACCAAUAGCCAGGAAAUUCCAAACUAGGUGUUGCCACACUAAAAUACUGAAUUCUUACAAACUUAGAAUGACUAUUAUGUGGCACCUGUAGUAGUGCCAAUUCCGUCUAACAAAAUGUUUGAGUGGCACAUGUAGGGUGAAGCCAUCUCGUAGAUAAACUGGUGCCAAGUUAUUAAGGGCUUUGGAUUACUAAUAGUAACACCUUCAGCCUGGCCUGGUAGCAAAUCAGCAGCCAGUGCAGGUCUCUGAGCACAAGUGUUAUAUGCUGACAAGGCCUCACUCCUGUCAGCAAUCAUGCUGUAGCAUUCUGCACUAACGGCAGCUUCCAGAUCAAGCUCGAGGGAAGCCGCACAUAAAGCGCAUUGCAGUAAUCCAGUCUUGAAGUAACCAGUGCAUGAACUACUGUCAGAAGGCUUUUCUGGUCUAGAAAUUGCUGCAGCUGUCACACCAGUAGCAGUUGGUAAAAGACACUUCUAGUCACAAAGGCUACCUGAGCCUGCAGUGACAGAACCGGAUCCAGAAGUAUCCCCAAACUGUGAACCUGCUCCUUCAGGGGGAGUGCAACUCCAUCCAGGGUACCACUGUAACUAAUUUCUAAGGCACAGGAACUACUCACCCACAGUGCCUCCAUCUUGCCAGGAUUAAAGCUCAGCUGUUUUAUCUUUUCUUUCUUUCUUUC